rnacentral:lncRNA from 1 species
CGACAGUCGACACUUGACCAACUAUCGACCAACUGUUGAUCAAGUGUCAUCGAGUGAGCAUCGAUAGGGAUGUUGAUUGAGUACUGAUCGAGAUGUCAAUUGAGGGUAUCCCUCAAUGGUAUCAAUUGACACUCAGCUGUGGAUGCCUUUGGUACACCUGAUUCAAAACAUUUUACUUUGCAAAAACAAAAUGAUGGGUAGAUUAGGGCUGGGGGGAAUUAAGUCUUUUUAGGAGAAUUAUUAGUUGCAGUGAAAUCUGUUCACCCAAGCUCUAAAUAUAUUUUCAAAACAUUCAACAGCAAAUAAUUUGUUAUUUUUGGUAUGUCUUGCUGAAAUUUAUUAAUAUUUUUCUGUUUUUGUUGGAAAUUAUCAGGAGCAUUUUCAGUAUCUUAUGACAGCCAUGAAAGAUCCCUCCAGAAAGACACACAGGAUUAUGCACCAUUACAGUGCCGAGCUACAAACAGCCAAACAAACUCUCACAACUUCAAAAAACUCAAUUGAAUUUACUUACAGUGACUUUCCUUGCUAUUUAAAGAGCAAGUGACAGCCCUUCUUUAACAUCUCAUAGUCUUUCUCUUCUGGAAGGAAUAUUUCUGAUUGGCAAAUUUAUGAUGGGAAACAAUAUGCAAUAUAUCGCUGAUUACAGAUGUGCCAUAUUGAAAACAUCAGUUAUGGUCAGAGAUGCAGUUUUGCCUGGAGGAUGGAGGAGAGCUCAUGGAGGAAUGAGGAAGGAAUGGACUCAUUCACUAAACUUUUGGUGUUUGAACCCUGCUGUGGUA